CAGCCGUUCAUACUAGACCAUAUGGGUACAGCCACAAUUUUUUUUUUCCCCUUCUCGUAGUGUGGAUGCAUUUUCAUCAGGACUACUUGGCAAUAAGAGUGAGGUGGAUGAAGGGCUCAAAAGAAGGUUGAACAAGAGAAGAUACUAAGUAACCAAUUCAAGGCAAGGCAUAGCCAACAGUUGAAGGUCCAGGUAAUUUCUUUUGUAUGGGUCCUAGUUUGGGGGGGAAGUGUUUAGUUAGGAGGGUUAAAGUCAAUUUUUGUUGGAGUGGGCCACUUGGGUCAUUUCCUCUUUUAUUGAAUUGAGUUGUUACCAAAUUUGUGAUUAGGAUUCUUAUCAAACAAUAGUGUGAAUUAUUUUUUGAAUGACUAUCAGGUACAAGAUUUAAAAAAUAAUAAUAAUAAUUUAUCAAUAUAUAUUUUUUA